rnacentral:lncRNA from 1 species
GUUUAGCUAUAAUGGGAGUUUCUCCUCCCAUGAGCUCAGUUGUUGUGGAAAAACAUCAUCCAGUCACAGUGCAAACCAUUCCUCAAGCAACUGCAGCAAAAUAUCCCCGGACCAUUCAUCCUGAAAGUAGUACCUCAGCUUCCAGAUCACUUGGAACCAGAUCAGCUCACACCCAGUCUCUCACAAGUGUUCAUUCCAUAAAAGUGGUUGACUAAAGUGAAUAUGUCCAUAGUGGGGUCUUUUAAUCCCUCUGGUCUUACCAAGGGUUAGAAGUCUUUUGGUUUUAACUUUUCCAUAUUGUUAGAACAUCAUGGAGACAUCAUGUUCAUCUGUUCAAAAUUACAAGAGGCUUUUUCAAGCUCUACCAUGCUUUGUAACUAUAUGUAGAAAUUAUUUUAAUGUUAUUUUUUAUUUAAGCAAUUAAGUAAAACUUUUUUAAAUU